rnacentral:rRNA from 1 species
UACGUAUAAGACUAGUGUUAUUCAUCUUUAAUAGGUUUAAAGGGUACCUAGACGGUAUAAUUAGUCUUAAACAGGAUACGAUUAUACUAGAGUUAUAUAUGAGGAGGUGAGUAUUUAUGGAGUAGAGUUGAAAUUCUUUGAUACCAUGACGACUGGUAACGGCGAAAGCAACCUUUUAUCUAAUAACUGACGUUGAGGGACGAAGGCUCGGGUAACGAACAGG